AAUAGAUACCCUGGUAGUCCACGCCCUAAACGAUGUCUACUAGUUGUCGGGUUUUAAUUAACUUGGUAACGCAGCUAACGCGUGAAGUAGACCGCCUGGGGAGUACGGUCGCAAGAUUAAAACUCAAAGGAAUUGACGGGGACCCGCACAAGCGGUGGAUGAUGUGGAUUAAUUCGAUGCAACGCGAAAAACCUUACCUACCCUUGACAUGGAAGGAAUCCUGAAAAGAUUUGGGAGUGCCCGAAAGGGAACCUUCACACAGGUGCUGCAUGGCUGUCGUCAGCUCGUGUCGUGAGAUGUUGGGUUAAGUCCCGCAACGAGCGCAACCCUUGUCAUUAGUUGCUACGCAAGAGCACUCUAAUGAGACUGCCGGUGACAAACCGGAGGAAGGUGGGGAUGACGUCAAGUCCUCAUGGCCCUUAUGGGUAGGGCUUCACACGUCAUACAAUGGUACAUACAGAGGGCCGCCAACCCGCGAGGGGGAGCUAAUCCCAGAAAGUGUAUCGUAGUCCGGAUUGUAGUCUGCAACUCGACUACAUGAAGUUG
rnacentral:rRNA from 1 species